UACGUAGGGGGCUAGCGUUGUCCGGAAUCAUUGGGCGUAAAGCGCGUGUAGGCGGUCCGGUAAGUCCGCUGUGAAAGUCGGGGGCUCAACCCUCGAAUGCCGGUGGAUACUGUCGGGCUAGAGUGCGGAAGAGGCGAGUGGAAUUCCUGGUGUAGCGGUGAAAUGCGCAGAUAUCAGGAGGAACACCGGUGGUGUAGACGGCUCUCUGGACCGUAACCGACGCUGAGACACGAAAGCGUGGGUAGCAAACAGG
rnacentral:rRNA from 1 species